rnacentral:sRNA from 1 species
AUUUUCUGCAUCUAAUGAAAAUCUAUCCUGUAGUUUUUAUAUUGAACCAUUGCUCACUCAUUGGGAUGAAGUAUAUAUGAUCAUGGAAGAUGAUACUUUUCAGGUGGCUUCAUUCUCAGAUCACUUUUCUGAAUAAUAUCUGGGCUAAUUCAUGAAGGAGCUUGUACUCACUACAUGGCGAUUGUUAACAUUUAGGGCUUUUGUGAACUGCCAUCCAAAUCAUUGGGUCCAGACACCAGGUUUCAGUAACUCUGGAAGGGUAUGCAGCUGAGAGAAGACCAGUAAUGUGUGCUCUUCUGCUGUAGACUGUGCCCUCAGUCUUGCCUCAGGUAACUGAAAAAUUACCUGGAACACUGUAUUAUUAUUAUUUACAAAUAAACCAGUUCUCA